GAAGGCCUUUCGGGUUCGUAAACCUCCUUUCUAGCAGGGAAGAAGCGAAAGUAGACGGUACCUGCAGAAAAAGCACCGGCUCAACUACGUGCCAGCAGCCGCGGUAAUACGUAGGGUGCGAGCGUUAUCCGGAAUUAUUGGGCGUAAAGAGCUCGUAGGCGGUUUGUCACGUCUGCUGUGAAAACUGGAGGCUCAACCUUCAGCCUGCAGUGGGUACGGGCAGACUAGAGUGCGGUAGGGGAGACUGGAAAUCCUGGUGUAGCGGUGGAAUGCGCAGAUAUCAGGAGGAACACCGAUGGCGAAGGCAGAUCUCUGGGCCGUUACUGACGCUGAGGAGCGAAAGCGUGGGGAGCGAACAGGAUUAGAUACCCUGGUAGUCCACGCCGUAAACGGUGGGCGCUAGAUGUGGGGACCAUUCCACGGUUUCCGUGUCGCAGCUAACGCAUUAAGCGCCCCGCCUGGGGAGUACGGCCGCAAGGCUAAAACUCAAAGGAAUUGACGGGGGCCCGCACAAGCGGCGGAGCACUCGGAUUAAUUCGAUGCAACGCGAAGAACCUUACCAAGGCUUGACAUACACGAGAACGGGCCAGAAAUGGUCAACU
rnacentral:rRNA from 1 species